rnacentral:tRNA from 1 species
GCGGAUGUGGUGGAACUGGUAGACACGCUAGACUUAGGAUCUAGUGCCGCGAGGUGUGCAGGUUCGAUUCCUGUCAUCCGCA